GAGCCAUGAUGAGUUCUUGCACAUACUGUGUGGUUGAGGUUUAAUCACGCUCUCCUGAUCCCGCGCAUGAAAUCUUGUGCGCCUGAGCUU